AGACACAUGGUGUGGAUGGUUUAUCACGCCCGCUUGGCGCGCUCGGGGGGUUGCUGGGUUCGGGUCCCGGUGUGUCCG